UACGAAGGGGGCUAGCGUUGCUCGGAAUCACUGGGCGUAAAGCGCGCGUAGGCGGCUUUGUAAGUUAGAGGUGAAAGCCCGGGGCUCAACCCCGGAAUUGCCUUUAAGACUGCAUCGCUUGAAUCCGGGAGAGGUGAAUGGAAUUCCGAGUGUAGAGGUGAAAUUCGUAGAUAUUCGGAAGAACACCAGUGGCGAAGGCGGCUCACUGGACCGGGUAUUGACGCUGAGGUGCGAAAGCGUGGGGAGCGAAACAG
rnacentral:rRNA from 1 species